rnacentral:rRNA from 1 species
UGGGGAAUCUUGGACAAUGGGCGAAAGCCUGAUCCAGCGACGCCGCGUGGAGGAAGAAGUCGUUCGGGAUGUAAACUUGUGAACUAGCCGAAUAAAAGGCCUGUGGACACACAGGAGAAGAAAGUAGGCUAGGAAAAGUCCCGGCUAACUACGUGCCAGCAGCCGCGGUAAGACGUAGGGGGCAAGCGUUACCCGGAAUUACUGGGCGUAAAGGGGGCGUAGGCGGUAAAAGAAGUCAUCUGUGAAAACCUAUUGCUCAACGAUAGGCUAGCGGAUGAAACUGAAUUACUUGAGGGCACCAGAGGUAGACGGAAUUACCCGAGUAGGGGUGAAAUCCGCAGAUACGGGUAGGAACGCCGGUGGAGAAGUCGGUCUACUGGGGUGCACCAGACGGUGAGGCCCGAAAGCUAGGGGAGCAAACCGGAUUAGAUACCCGGGUAGUCCUAGCCGUAAACGAUGCUCACUAGGUGUAGGGAGUGAUAAACUCUCUGUGCUGAAGCGAACGC